UACAGAGGUCUCGAGCGUUGUUCGGAUUCAUUGGGCGUAAAGGGCGCGUAGGCGGCUUGGCAAGUGGAAGGUGAAAUCCCUCGGCUUAACCGAGGAACUGCCCUCCAAACUGCUUCGCUUGAGACCGGGAGAGGUGAGUGGAAUUCCCAGUGUAGCGGUGAAAUGCGUAGAUAUUGGGAGGAACACCAGUGGCGAAGGCGGCUCACUGGACCGGUACUGACGCUGAUGCGCGAAAGCGUGGGGAGCAAACGGG
rnacentral:rRNA from 1 species